GUCCCUCUAACGCAGUGGAUAGCGCAUUGGACUUCUAAUCCAAAGAUCAUGGGUUUGAAUCUCACGUGGGAUG